AGUUUCAAUUGAUCAAGAUUGCCGAACUCUUCGACAGUGCGUUGCCCGGUGCGUCGGUUCGAAUCCGAUUGAAUCUC
rnacentral:tRNA from 1 species